rnacentral:rRNA from 1 species
AUGUCGAGCGUAGUCGCCGAGACGACCGAGCUCACAAGCACGUUCAACCUGCAGGACUACAUCAGCGUGUUCAAGGACGUGCAAGGCCUCGGCGAGUGCUUGGACGCCAUGCACCACAGGUUUGAGGACUACAUCAGCGUGUUCAAGGACGUGCAAGGCCUCAGCGAGCGCUUGGACGCCAUGCACCGCAGGUUUGAGGUCAUAAUGGAGAUGGUACUUAUGGCGAGGGACGUCAAGCGGCGGCAGCAGUGGGAGAACAACGACACCGCCGGACAUCUCGCGACGGGGACAUACAUGAAGAGGAUCACGGUGGAGCGGGGCCUGUCGGGGUUGGUUAACAACUCGGACCUCCUCCAGAAGAGGCAGUGGCCAAGGAGACGGUGCGUCUGCACCCAACGGCCCCUGGUGGUGAAGUGGUCCCUGGAGCAAUGUAAGGAGAGCGGAUACGACAUACCGGUCGGUGCGGCGGUGUUCAUGAAUGUGUCGCGGUCAGCAACGAAGCAGCUGGAGUUCAGGCACGAAGAGGUUCCUGGAGGGGGGCACGAACGCCGGGACGCAGGUGUGCGGGCAGCAGUUCCACACGAUGUCGUUCUGUGCUUCAAGUGGCAGCCCGCAGGCAGCGCGGCCAAGAUGGACAUGAUGGAGGGGCCUGGGCUGACGCUGCCGCGGAAGCACCGCUCGUCUGCGCCGUCGUGCCGAGGCUCCCCCGCUGCUGCUGCUGCAUGUACAUGCGCCAAUGAAGUAUUUACCGUGGUCCAACCGAACUCACCUAAGGUGCCUGAUAUGAUGUCUCCGGCGACGCCUUCAGCUGCAGCGCUUGCGAGAACAUAA